UUUGUCAAUCAAGCCAAACCGUCCAUUUAGAAACCGAGAAAUUUGGAGGCCGAUCUCUCAGGUUGACGCGCGAGCUGGCUUGACUUAAGUUUUCGUGAGGAUAUAGUUUAUGGACUGUUUUGAUUUCGGUAAUUACAUCUAGAAAGGUAAAAGCAGUGAUGACAUAUAUAAUAGAGAUAUCUGAAAGUGAAACGAAAGUGAUAUUGGCCUCGUCCAGUGGGGAGGACGCACGAGAGGAGACCUGCGCAUUUAAUUGUGCACAGCAGGGACUCUCAGCCAGGAGUGUGAUGGAAGGCAGGCAUUUUCUGGAUUUGAGAAAGAGAGAAGGAGAAAAGACACCAAAAGAAAUGGAUAAAGAAAGAUAAGAAAUUGGCGGUGACUCAGUUAAGGAUUAAGGUGCUGUCUGUCUGUCAUUCGGCCGGUGGUGGAAGGCACUGGAGAACCCCAGGGAUCUGGUGCCGUGUCACUGUGUGUGGUAUCAGCAUAGACAAGGACAAGAGUAAUCAAUACGAUUCGCCACUUCAAAUGAGACUCACUCAGCCAUUGUUCAACACCAAGCAGGCCAAAAAGAGGCUGAUGUUUUGUCCAACUUUUUCUGUCAUUCUAGAAUAAAAAUAGCCCUGUUUCGAUGUACCACAGAAAAUCUGCCAAAAGUGUGCAUCAAAGGCAAUUAUACCUGUACAGGCCUCAUCCACUGCAGCAUACUGCACAUUUCUGUGUUUGAAAGCAUGGGCAGCUAUUUAAGUUUUAGCAACAAAAAUACAUAAUGAAGAAAGCAAAGACUCCUCAAAGAUAAGAACUUUUAAAGCAUUUAGGAAAUGUAAUGGUUAAUCCAGGUAUUCUAUCCAUACAUAAUUUGUGUUAUUUUUACAGAAAAGUACUGUGAAAAUGCUGGAAUAAAACCUGUU